rnacentral:misc_RNA from 1 species
CAAAACAACUGUCAGCUCCUUUUAAACGCAUUAGCAGAGCAGUAUGGGACUGGCCUCGGUUUGAUAAGAAACAUUAUCUAUGCUGUCGCUGGGUUUUCCUCUUUGUGCUCAGCUUCAAAUUGUCUUCGGACUGUCUCUUUGAGGCAACAAAAUCUCUAUUGAUCGACCUCAAAUCAGGUAGGACUACCCGCUGAACUUAA